rnacentral:lncRNA from 1 species
UUUAAAUGAGCAGUGGGUCAUGUUUUGAUCACGAUUCCAACAACUUAUCAUGAUAGGGCUGCAUCGCGGUGGUAAUAUCGAUGAAACCGUCAUCGCAUCAUAGUGACCCUUUAAAUCGUAUUUUUGUUAUGAAUAUAAUAACCUAAGGGGAAAUUGUGCCAUUCCCCCACAAUUAAAUUUGCUAAUUCAUAAAUUAUAACAUCACUUAGUGAAUUAUUUACUAUUUACUUUAAUUCU